UAGGGAAUAUUGGUAAUCUGGGAAACCGGGAACCAGCAACGCCGCGUGCGCGAUGAAGGCCUUCGGGUUGUAAAGCGCUUUUUGAGAGGAUGAGGAAGGACGGUACUCUCAGAAUAAGUCUCGGCUAACUACGUGCCAGCAGCCGCGGUAACACGUAGGAGGCAAACGUUAUCCGGAUUUACUGGGCGUAAAGCGCGUGUAGGUGGUUUGGUAAGUAGAGCGUGAAAGCUCCUGGCUCAACUGGGAGAGGUCGUUCUAAACUGCCGGACUAGAGGAUGGUAGAGGGAGGUGGAAUUCCGGGUGUAGCGGUGGAAUGCGCAGAUAUCCGGAGGAACACCAGCGGCGCAGGCGGCUCACUAGACAGUUUCUGACGCUAAGAUACGAAAGCGUGGGGAGCAAACA
rnacentral:rRNA from 1 species